CACACACACAUUCUCUAUCUCGCCCUCUCUCACACACGCACACAAACACACACUCUCUCUCACUCUCUCUCUCUCUCUCUCUCUCACACACACACACACACAAAGGCAGGCAGGUUUUGACUUCCCCUUUAUCGCUGGGACCAUGCAAGAAGAUCAAUUAUGGUCACAUGACUGCACCACCUGACCUGCUCAAUUCAGAAUCUAAUCAAUCAAUGUAGCAACAGAAGCUCUUUAUUUGAUCUCUGUUUGCUUUAAUGUUCCUUUAAUUUGUUACACAGCAAACAGGGAUUCUGAAAUCAUCCGGGAUAGAUGCCAGCAGUAAAUCCGGUCUCCUGAACAUGUUCUUCAGGAUCUUCAACAGCUCAAUCUGCAGCUGGGUAUUUGUGAUCGUCUUCCUCGUCUUCCUCAUCUUAAUAAAGGCUUCCUACAAAAAAAAGUGAAAGAAGAAUGCGUUCCAAUCAUCAUUAGAUCUUUACUUGUGUGUGUGUGUGUAAUAUCCUGCACAACUGAAUGGCUUCAUUCUCCUGUAGUUAUUACUCCUGAAGUUAUUACCUGGUUUGACUGGUCACCUGAAGUAAAUAGAUUUAAACCAUCCCAUCCAU
ensembl:lncRNA